rnacentral:rRNA from 1 species
AACGAACGCUGGCGGCAUGCCUAACACAUGCAAGUCGAACGAUGCCUUCGGGCAUAGUGGCGCACGGGUGCGUAACGCGUGGGAAUCUGCCCCUGGGUUCGGAAUAACAGCGAGAAAUUGCUGCUAAUACCGGAUGAUGACGAAAGUCCAAAGAUUUAUCGCCCAGGGAUGAGCCCGCGUAGGAUUAGCUAGUUGGUGAGGUAAAAGCUCACCAAGGCGACGAUCCUUAGCUGGUCUGAGAGGAUGAUCAGCCACACUGGGACUGAGACACGGCCCAGACUCCUACGGGAGGCAGCAGUGGGGAAUAUUGGACAAUGGGCGAAAGCCUGAUCCAGCAAUGCCGCGUGAGUGAUGAAGGCCUUAGGGUUGUAAAGCUCUUUUACCCGGGAUG